rnacentral:misc_RNA from 1 species
UCCGAGUUGACCCCGGCAGUCUCCUAUGAGUCCCCGACAUAACUCGCUGGCAACAUAGGACGAGGGUUGCGCUCGUUGCGGGACUUAACCCAACAUCUCACGACACGAGCUGACGACAGCCAUGCACCACCUGUGCAGGACCCUUACGGACCCCCAUCUCUGGGAGAUUUCCCUGCAUGUCAAGCCUUGGUAAGGUUCUUCGCGUUGCAUCGAAUUAAGCCACAUGCUCCGCCGCUUGUGCGGGCCCCCGUCAAUUCCUUUGAGUUUCAGUCUUGCGACCGUACUCCCCAGGCGGAGUGCUUAAUGUGUUGACUUCGGCACAGCAGGGGUCGAUACCCGCUACACCAAGCACUCAUCGUUUACGGCGUGGACUAC